rnacentral:rRNA from 1 species
GACAGAGGAUGCAAGCGUUAUCCGGAAUGAUUGGGCGUAAAGCGUCUGUAGGUGGCUUUUUAAGUCCGCCGUCAAAUCCCAGGGCUCAACCCUGGACAGGCGGUGGAAACUACCAAGCUGGAGUACGGUAGGGGCAGAGGGAAUUUCCGGUGGAGCGGUGAAAUGCGUAGAGAUCGGGAGGAACACCAAAGGCGAAAGCACUCUGCUGGGCCGCAACUGACACUGAGAGACGAAAGCGAGGGGAGCAAAUGGG